rnacentral:rRNA from 1 species
UCCGUAGGUGAACCUGCGGAAGGAUCAUUAGUGAAUUAAACAUGCUUGGUGUCUUCGCUUCGGCAAGGCCCUUGCUUAAAUCACAUCCUAACACCUGUGAACUGUAAGACGUAUGAUGAGGUCUUUGGCCAAGUCAUCGUCUGCCCAUUUUUAACAAACAAUUAAUGUAACAAACGUAGUCUUAUUAUAACCUAAUAAAACUUUCAACAACGGAUCUCUUGGCUCUCGCAUCGAUGAAGAACGCAGC